AUUGAACGCUGGCGGCAGGCCUAACACAUGCAAGUCGAGCGCGCGGCGGACGUGUGAGUAAUGUCUGGUAAACUGCCUGAUGGAGGGGGAUAACUACUGGCCACGGUAGCUAAUACCGCAUACCAUCUGAUGUGCCCAUAUGGGAUUAGCUAGUAGGUGGGGUAACGGCUCACCUGGGCGACGAUCCCUAGCUGGUCUGAGAGGAUGACCAGCCACCCGGGAACUGAGACACGAUCCAGACUCCUACGGGAGGCAGCAGUGGGGAAUAUUGCACAAUGGGCGCAAGCCUGAUGCAGCCAUGCCGCGUGUGUGAAGAAGGCCUUCGGGUGGUAAAGCACUUUCAGCGGGGAGGCGUUACCCGCAGAAGAAGCACCGGCUAACUCCGUGCCAGCAGCCGCGGUAAUGC
rnacentral:rRNA from 1 species